rnacentral:ncRNA from 1 species
UAUUCUUUGCCACCGGGUAAAGAUUUAAGGUGUUCUGAGGUAUUCCGUUAGGUCUUAGAAGGAAUACUUUCGGGACACCUUUUUGUG